rnacentral:rRNA from 1 species
CCUACGGGUGGCAGCAGUGAGGAAUAUUGGUCAAUGGUCGAGAGACUGAACCAGCCAAGUCGCGUGAAGGAUGAAUGCACAGUGGGUUGUAAACUUCUUUUAUCUGGGAAUAAAACAGGGUAUGCAUACCCUCUUGUAUGUACCAUAUGAAUAAGGAUCGGCUAACUCCGUGCCAGCAGCCGCGGUAAUACGGAGGAUCCGAGCGUUAUCCGGAUUUAUUGGGGUUAAAGGGUGCGUAGGUGGAUUGUUAAGUCAGUUGUGAAAGUUUGCGGCUCAACCGUAAAAUUGCAGUUGAAACUGGCAGUCUUGAGUUCAGUAGAGGUGUGCGGAAUUCGUGGUGUAGCGGUGAAAUGCUUAGAUAUCACGAAGAACUCCGAUUGCGAAGGCAGCUCACUGGACUGCAACUGACGCUGAUGCUCGAAAGUGUGGGUAUCGAACAGGAUUAGAUACCCGGGUAGUC